CAGAGUAUUAGCUAUAAGAAGAAGCUGGGCCAACAUGGAUUGUUCUCUCUGAAGGAGAUCUGAUAUAAGUUUCUAAAACUAAAGGAGGCAUAGAAGUGGUUUGCCAUUGCCUUCUACUGGGCAGUGUCUUUACAAGACAGGUGACUCCAGUCAUUAACAAUACUCUUAAGAAAUUUACUCGUUGGCAUCAGUGGUCGCAUAACCAAGACUUGUGAUAUGUACCAGCUGCUCUUUCUUUCUUUUUAAAUCUUUUUAUUGAGUAAGUAUACAAAAAAGAAAUGAUUCUGCAGCUGGUCAGAAUCCAGAGAAGCAGCAUCCAAAACGCUGGAGGAGCUCAGCAGGUCAGACAGCAUUUAUGGAAAUGAACAAACAGUUGACUUUCAGGCUGAGACCCUUCAUCAGGACUGGAAAGGAAAGAAGAUGCCAGAACAAAAGGUCAACAGCGGAAUGCCAUUUCACUGGGUCUUCACUCAUCUCUGGAACAUCCAAACAACCAAGAUCCAUAUAUCAAGAUGCUCUUCAGUCCCUACAGCUCAGCAUUUAACAGUAUCAUCCCCUCGAAACUAAUCACUAGGCUCCAAGAUCAAGACCUUGAAUCCUCUCUCUCAUGCAACUGGAUUCUCAAUUUGUUCACUUGCAACCUACAGACCAUACGGAUUGGCGACAACAUCUCCUCCACAACCACCAUCAGCACAGGUGCACAACAAGGCUGUGUGCUUAACCCCUGCUGUAUUCGUGUUAUAUUUAUGAUUUUGUGGCUAAGUACACUCCGAUUCCAUAUUUAAGUUGGUUGACUUUGCCGAGACUGUUGUGGGCCAAAUCAAAUACGGUAACAAAUCAACAUAUAGGAUGGUUGUUCUUUGUUCGCAAUCAGCAACGAGCUUUAUUUACACAAAACAGAUACUGAUGCCAACAGUCAAAAAUCUGCAUUUUAUCCAACCAAAGAACAGCUCCCAAAUAACUUCUUAUUUGGAAAUGAUCUCCAGUCCAGCAGAUUACCUGAAGCAUCAUUGUGUCUUCCUUAAAACACAAACAAAUUAAGCAACUUCAUCUCACAAAAUAGAGGAUAUAAACAACUCCAGAAAAUGGUAACCUCCAUUUCCAAGCACCUGGCAGGAACAAAGACAUUGUCUGCUUCCAUUGUCCUUGACCCAUUUGAGUUCAAUGUUUUCUUCCACAUUUCAAAUCCACUAUGGCCAACACUACAACUCAGGUUCUCAGUAUUUUUUUUAUUUGCCCAAUUUGUAUUCUUUUUCAAAUUGGAUAUUUGCCAGACUAUGUUUAUCUAUAGCUUUUAAUGAAUUAUAUUGUAUUUAUUUUCCUGUAAAUGCCUGCACGAAGAUGAAUCUCAAGGUAGUAUAUGGUAACAUACACCCAGUGGCCACUUUAUUAGGUACAACUGUAGACCUGCUCAUUAAUAAUGUGGCCAAUGAUUGUAUAUGUACUGUACUUUGAUGACAAAUUUACUUUGACUUUGAAUAAUUAAUUAUGCAUUUAAAGCCAUUAA